UCGGAUAUGGUGUAAUGGUUAACAUUGCCGCCUCUCAUGUGACAGUAUUGACUGCUUCGCGGCAGCUCGGGGUUCGAUUCCCCGUAUCCGAA